GGAAAUCUCACCAGGCCCGGACACUGGAAGGAUUGACAGAUUGAUAGCUCUUCUUGAUUCGGUGGGUGAUGGUGCAUGGCCGUUCUUAGUUGGUGGAGUGAUUUGUCUGGUUAAUUCCGAUAACGAACGAGACCCCAACCUGCUAACUAGCCCUCGGGUCCUGCUUCUGUUGGGCCCGACGGAAUGAUUCGCUUCUUAGAGGGACUCGCGGCGCCUAGCCGCACGAAGGGGGGCGAUAA
rnacentral:rRNA from 1 species